AUGAGAUAAUCACGCCUCUUGCACGCCAACGUGCGCCCAACUAAUCACAUGCAAAUUAAUUGGAGCACAACGCUAUCGUUUGACGCUUCCUAAUUUGUCCACUACUUAUUUUUAAGGAAUGCAAACUAUUUCUUUGGGUUACACAGAGGGGCUGUACAAAAAUUUAUUGGCAAUUAACACGGAGCAAAUUAGACGGUUCACUAGACAGUUCGAUUUAUAAGUAUGGGUUCUGACGCACAGAUUAUUCAUUCAUCGUCUGUAACCUAAUUGACACACGAUAUUAAUGUUUAAAAAUUAUUCCUCAGUGAAAAAAUCUUUCAUUUCUGUGUUCAUUUUGUUUAACUCUUUUUGGGGGUAGAAAUAUUAUAUUUGGGCAAUUUCACCUGAGAUUGGGGAGCAAUUGGACGAUUUUUAGACGUUUGUCAAAGUCACGGGAUGUCGAAAAAAUUGUGCGGUUGUCCUGUUUUAGAGUACUUGAAAAUUCCCGGAAAAUAUGUUUAGUGUGCAAACUGCAAAGAGCGAGUGUGUUCAAGUUGUGACCCGAGACAUUUCGUCACAACAAAUUCCAGAGAUGGUUAUUUUUAACCAAUAUUUCCAAACCAAGAAUAUAUCCCGUCUCUUUGGUGACGUUCAUAAUUAUUCUCCAGAGCACAUCUCGUGCAAGAUAAUAAAUGACGAUUGGCAUGGAUCAGCAGCCAAAAGGAACUGAUACUAAGUGCGUGUGCGACGUCGCGUCCAGUCCGUCCUUGUCACCGAGACGCGGAAUCUGCGGAAAUCCCUGCACCGCUGGCGUCAGUGAUCGCAAAUUAGUAUUCCAGGCUGCAGCCAUCGCAAAGGAUAAAUAUUCGCUCACGUCCGGCCACACGAUUAGAUCGAGAUGAGGCGUGAAACUGCUCUCUUCGCAUUGCUGCUGCUGCUGGUCGUCGUUGUCAGUGCCGCCCAGGCCAGGGCGCAGGGCAAGAGUAUCGAUGGCAACGUCAGGACGCCGGGCAACCAGCAGGCGCAGUGUGCCUUCUGCAACCCUUCAGGACCAAGGUCCUGCCCCAGCGGCUGCCGCUUCGACAGAAACAGAAACGCCUGCGUUCCCUCAUCAAAUUGUAGAAACUGCCGAUGCAGGUGACAAAAAUGAAGAAUCAUCUUUGUAAGCCUCUGUGAAUACCAUGAAAAUUUGUAAACAACUUUGUCAUCGUUAGAUCCUUAAUUUAUGAAAAUAAAUUUAUUUUAUUAAUAAUUCC